GAUGAAGAACGUAGCGAAAUGCGUUAAGUAAUGCGAAUUGCAGAAUUCCAGUGAGUCAUCGAAUCUUUGAACGCACAUUGCGCCCUUUGGUAUUCCGAAGGGCAUGCCUGUUCGAGCGUCAUUAUCACCCCUCAAGCCCUCGGCUUGGUGUUGGACGGUUUGGUGGAGGCCCCCUCGGGGGCUCCUGCCCCUCCCAAAGACAAUGACGGCGGCCUCGUUGGACCCCCGGUACACUGAGUUCUUCACGGGACACGUAUCGGACACAUGGGUUUACGGGACACGGUCUGCCUCCCCUCAGGGAGAAUCUUUCUAAGGUUGACCUCGGAUCAGGUAGGGAUACCCGCUGAACUUAAGCAUAUCAAUAAGCGGAGGA
rnacentral:misc_RNA from 1 species